rnacentral:misc_RNA from 1 species
GGGACAGGGAGGACAGUGCCAGUGCCAGGGUGGAUGUAGUGCGGGUUGGGGUGGAUGAACUGCUGCGGCUGUUGUUGGUAGUAGUGCUGCUGUUGCAAUUGCUCUGGCUGCAUCUGGGGCAUUAAGUAUCCAUGGUAGCUAGAAUCCGAGACUGCCACUUCGCGUUUCUGGUCCAAGGAGGGGACGGGGGCAGAAGGAGGUGAUGUAUCCUGAUAGUACAUGGGUCUGGUGGUCGAAUCGGGGACCAGAGCAUCGGCCGGAGUGGGCUUCUGCUGUGCCGGUGGCGG